GAUGAACGCUAGCGGCAUGCCUAACACAUGCAAGUCGAGGGGCAGCACAGAAACAGCAAUGUUUUGAUGGCGACCGGCGGACGGGUGCGUAACGCGUAUGCAACCUACCUUUAACAGGGGGAUAACGGAGAGAAAUUUCCACUAAUACCCCAUAACAUCGAUCAAGGCAUCUUGACUCGUUGAAAACUCCGGUGGUUAAAGAUGGGCAUGUGUUGUAUUAGGUAGUUGGUGAGGUAAUGGCUCACCAAGCCUACGAUACAUAGGGGGACUGAGAGGUUAGCCCCCCACACUGGCACUGAGACACGGACCAGACGCCUACGGGAGGCAGCAGUGAGGAAUAUUGGGCAAUGGGGGCAACCCUGAACCAGCCAUGCCGCGUGCAGGAAGACGGCUCUAUGAGUUGUAAACCGCUUUUAAACAGGGAUAAAGCAAAGUAUGUAUACUGUGUUGAAGGUACUGUAAGAGUAAGGAUCGGCUAACUCCGUGCCAGCAGCCGCGGUAA
rnacentral:rRNA from 1 species